rnacentral:lncRNA from 1 species
GGAGAGAGAGACUAGAGAGCUAUAGUGAGGUGAGGAGGAGUCGGCGACUCAGCGUUGCAAGUGAAGAUCGAUGACCCGAGUUAGCCGCGAUGGUUAAUCGGUCGAUGUCAGGAGGAGAGUGGAGGUUGGACGGUGGACAGUGGACCCGCUAGAAGUGGUGGAGCUCAGUACUCAGAGAAGAGGCACAGGCAUGUGUGACGGGAGGGUGAGGCGGCGUGGAAUUGAGAUUACAGAUUAGCGUCUCUACUCUCAGUGGCACAACUUUUAGAUUUAGGGCAAAUAAGCUUAUAAGGGUACAUUUCAAAACGAC